rnacentral:rRNA from 1 species
AGGAUGAACGCUGGCGGCGUGCUUAACACAUGCAAGUCGAACGGUGAAGGAGGAGCUUGCUCCUCUGGAUCAGUGGCGAACGGGUGAGUAACACGUGAGUAACCUGCCCCAGACUCUGGGAUAAGCGUUGGAAACGACGUCUAAUACCGGAUACGAGCUUCAGCCGCAUGGCUAGGAGCUGGAAAGAAUUUCGGUCUGGGAUGGACUCGCGGCCUAUCAGGUAGUUGGUGAGGUAAAGGCCCACCAAGCCUACGAC